GGUAAAGGCCUACCAAGGCGACGAUCCGUAGCUGGUCUGAGAGGACGACCAGCCACACUGGAACUGAGACACGGUCCAGACUCCUACGGGAGGCAGCAGUGGGGAAUUUUGGACAAUGGGGGAAAGCCUGAUCCAGCCAUUCCGCGUGAGUGAAGAAGGCCUUCGGGUUGUAAAGCUCUUUCGCAAGGAAAGAAAACUUAGCCACUAAUACUGGCUUGAGGAUGACGGUACCUUGAUAAGAAGCACCGGCUAACUACGUGCCAGCAGCCGCGGUAAUACGUAGGGUGCGAGCGUUAAUCGGAAUUACUGGGCGUAAAGCGUGCGCAGGCGGUUUNAUAAGUCAGAUGU
rnacentral:rRNA from 1 species